CUUCACUACAACUUUGCAUUGAUUUUGAAUUUUUGAUGUGUAGGAUAGUUGGGACGCUAUGAAGCUGUGUCGCUAGGCAUGGUGGAGCGGUUGUUGAAAUACCAACCUUUAAACAUUUAGAAUCUAAUCCCUAACGGGAAACAGUGCAUGGUGGGUAGUUUGACUGGGGUGGUCGCCUCCUAAAGUGUAACGGAGGCUUGCAAAGGUUCCCUCAGUACGGUUGGUAAUCGUACAUAGAGCGUAUUAGUAUAAGGGAGCUUGACUGUGAGACUUACAAGUCGAGCAGGGACGAAAGUCGGCUAAAGUGAUCCGGCGGUUCUGUAUGGAAGGGCCGUCGCUCAAAGGAUAAAAGGUA
rnacentral:rRNA from 1 species